rnacentral:rRNA from 1 species
UACGAAGGGGGCUAGCGUUGUUCGGAAUCACUGGGCGUAAAGGGCGCGUAGGCGGCUUUGUAAGUCGGGGGUGAAAGCCUGUGGCUCAACCACAGAAUUGCCUUCGAUACUGCAUGGCUUGAGACCGGAAGAGGUAAGUGGAACUGCGAGUGUAGAGGUGAAAUUCGUAGAUAUUCGCAAGAACACCAGUGGCGAAGGCGGCUCACUGGUCCGGUACUGACGCUGAGGUGCGAAAGCGUGGGGAGCAAACAGG